rnacentral:rRNA from 1 species
CCUACGGGUGGCAGCAGUAGGGAAUCUUCCACAAUGGGCGAAAGCCUGAUGGAGCAACGCCGCGUGGGUGAAGAAGGUCUUCGGAUCGUAAAACCCUGUUGUUAGAGAAGAAAGUUCGAGAGAGUAACUGUUCACGCUUCGACUGUCUCUAACCAGACAGCCACGGCUAACUAUGGGCCGGCAGCCGCGGUAAUACGUAGGUGGUAAGCGUUAUCCGGAUUUAUGGGGCGUAAAGGGAACGCAAGCGGGCGGGUAAGGCUGAUGGGAAAGCAUUUGGCUUAACUGGUGUAUUGCAUUUGAAACUGGGAGACUUGAGUGCAGAAGAGGUGAGUGGAACUCCAUGUGUAGCGGUGAAAUGCGUAGAUAUAUGGAAGAACACCAGUGGCGAAAGCGGCCAUCUGGGCUGUAACUGACGCUGAGGCUCGAAAGCGUGGGUAGCAAACAGGAUUAGAUACCCUAGUAGUC